rnacentral:lncRNA from 1 species
UACAUUAAAGACAUUCACCUUAAAUAGAAGUGUAAGAAUCUUCUAUUUCAUAACAGUUUCUUCAUUUUUGAGCUUAUCAGAAAAGUGUCCAAAGAUAUACUUACAAUAAUGUCUCCAAAUUCUUUCUCUUUUAAUUGAAUUAUUUCACGUUUAAUUAUAUCUUUGUGCAAUUAUGCUUUAAUUCGUUGUAGUUUCCAUUUUAAUUCUUGUAACUCGUACUUGAAUCUUAUAACAUCUCCUUUAUUUUAUAACUCCCACUUAAUUAUCCUUCUUGUAACAGCUCCAACAACUUACCUAUAUAAGGAGUUGUUUUGUGAAGUUUUUAAAUACAAAAAAAAAAAACCUUCUUCAUCUUUUCUUCUUAAGUCAGUUUCUAGGCCGUUAUUUUGUGCAAACUUCAAUGUUUCAGUCACAAGUAGACGUGUUUGGAGGUACCGUAGAUUUUUGGGGAGCGAUCCGUCUUAACAAUUUGCAUCUUAGUCGGGCUGAAUCACUUUUAAUAUAAUGGCUUGCCACGACACAAUAUUUGUUUGAUAAGUUAUUCUGUUUCUUUCGUGUUAGGUCAUAUUAUCAACUAUUUUUUCAAUAAUUCUACAAUUGAGAACUCAAGAAUGGAACUAUGGAGUUCGUGGUUCUACAAUAUGUUAAGAAUCUAGUGAUAGAAUCAUAGAGUUUGUAGUUCAUUAAUUCGGAACUUAAGGAUGAAGUUAUGAAGUUUAUGAUUUUAAAAAUUAAUAACUCAAGGAUAGAAGAUAGAGAAAAAAAUAUAUUACUAUCAAUAAUUGGAUUGACUUCUUUAAAAAGUAGUGGUCCAAUAUUAACUGAACAAAAUAUAUUCUCACAUAAUUUACAACAUUAUUAUUAUCAUUUGCAGGCCAAAUAUUGUUGUAAUGGGUAAAGGUUUUACUUGAUACCAUCUAACUACAAUCUAGUAUUAUAAUUUGAAAUUAGUUUUACUCUUAACAAAAUCAAUUUUUGAGGACCAAAUUGAAUCGGAAAGUGAAUAUUGUACAAAAAGCUGGACACAUUUCAUAAAUGACAUUUUUUCCAGAUAUCGGAAUAUUUAAAUUAAUGUAAACUCAACAUAUGAUGUAAAAGGGUAGAAUAGUCCUCUCCAGCUUAUUAUAAAGGAGAAGUGGCCAUUCUUAUAAUGCAUUGCUAAAAACUCACAGCAGCUCUAAAAAGUGGUCAUUCCACCCAUUUUUUCAUAAAAACGUCGACUAAUUUGGACCUUCUGAAAAUUAGGCCUCUUUGAAUUUUUUGUAUUGUUUUGGGUUAUAUUUAAUAAACUCAUAUUGUUUAUGCAAAUACGGUUAAACUCAUAUUCUUUUGAUUAACUCUUAGGGAUUAUCCUGUUAGGAUUAUAAUAUCCAACUAAAACAUAAUAGCCUUCAUAUCGAAUUAUUUGAAAUAACAACAUAAGCGGAAGCGUACCUGAAUCCAUAAGUGAAAUCCUUAGUCCUUCUUGAUGAUUGUCCAAAUGUUUGGCUUUGAAAGCUCCUUGAUCCUU